rnacentral:snoRNA from 1 species
AUAUCAGGAUGAACAUUUUAGUAUAAGUAUGUUUUUUCUGGCAUCUCUAAUGUUAGAGCUUUUCAGCUCGAUGAAUACAACCUUUGACUAUUAUCUGAUG